UCAAAAUCUACUUCCAUGUACUUUAAAUAUUUUGACAAUAUGAAAGUGUAGUCUAUGUCCUUUUGAUAUAUUUAUGACUAAAACUGAGUAGCAGGGGUGACUAUUAUUUUUAAGCUCUGGCUGAUAACAGAUUUGUGUGAACAUUUAUAUUAAUCUAUUUAGCAUCACACACACACACACACACACACACACACACACACACACACACAUACAUGAUUUAGAGCAGAUACUGGACAAGGACUGAGAAUCCUAUCCGGGCCUGGCAGCACACACUUUUUUAAUCCCAGCACUUGAGAGGCAGAGGCAGAUGGAUCUCUUGAGUAUGAGGCCAGCCUGGUCUACAGAGCAAGGGACAGCCAGAGCUGCUACAGAGAACCCUGUCUCAAAAGAAAACAAAGAAACAAAGAACCCUCUUGUGAUUGGUUGAUUCUCUGCACGUAUCAGGGACUGGGCCAAUUAGAGGUUGACACACCCUGUGCAUGUUCUUCUGGCCCACUCAGGAGAGUGGUCACCCUCUGAAGCCCUCUGCUCAUCUCUGACUUGCUUUGUUGAACCUGGCUAGUUCGUUGGCUGUCAGCCUGGCCCAGCGUUGCCAGCUCUGCCAGUCUUGCAGGUAUUGCUGAUCUGACCUGCGUGGGGUGUGGAAGCCCUCACCAGUUCUCUUGGCUCUCAUGUGGUUUAGCAUAGUAGGGAAUAAUGCCUAUCACUGUUACCAAGACAUAGAUAGCUGCAGUCCUUUUGGGUGACCCCACACUAGCUCCUUGUCUAUGGGUGGUGUCCUCUGGAGGUUUAUUGUUAGAAGCUGUCCUCAUCUAAAGUUCAGUCUGUUACAUUUAGCCACAUUAGAAAGUAAAAGUUUGAAAGCACCGUGCCUUGUGUGUGUCUUCCAGGGCUUCAUGGAGCUGGCCAGCCAACUUGCAAACAUCAACUUGCUUCCCAGGGUAAAAGGGGCCAAGGAAAAACACUCUGACCUGGACUUGACCCCAGGACCGGGGUUUGAAACACCACCAAUCCCUGAGCUUGCCCGAGUCAGGCUUCAGAAUUUCACCAAUCCCUGAGCACACAAUCCCCCCAAUCUCUGAGGUCCCUGAGCACACAAUCCCCUCAAUCCCUGAGCACACAAUCCCACUAAUUCCUGAGCACACAAUCCCACCAAUCUCUGAGCACACAAUCCCCCCCAUCCCUGAGGUCCCUGAGCACACAAUCCCACCAAUCCCUGAGCACACAAUCCCACCAAUCCCUGAGCACCAAUCCCACCAAUCCCUGAGCUUGCCCCGGAAUCAGGCUACAAAACUCCACCAAUCCCAAGCCACCCUGGAAAGCGCUGACCCCAAGAAAUCCUAUAUAAGCUUUCAUCCUGAUACCCAGCAAUGGUUUUUUAUUAAGACCAAUUAGGAUUCAUGCAACAGCAGGAGGAGACUCUUAAACCGCCACCAUGUACUGAGCACUUAGGAGAGGAGCCAAGUUGAAAGCCUUGAGUUCAAGGGCCACAAGAAGAUCCAUUCUCACAGAAAGGUCAUUGUUCAACAUAGAAACUCUUUUGAUCUACUUCAAUAUGCUUUAUUCUACUUCAGCAUUAAAAGGUAUCAUCCCACUGUUUCUCCUUUGAAGCAAGAAAAUAAUACAACUAUUUUCAUACUUGAAGACCUGGGCCGCCCUCAACCGUGGUCAGAGAAGUGUCUUUUUGCAGUGGGCAGCAGUCAGUGCAGAGACUCCUAACUAGUUAAGGAGCUGAGAAUACAUGACUCAUCUACUACUCAUGAAUCACUCAGAUCCUUCCAACAGCUGACAAAUCCAACUGAAGAUAUAUUUAAAUUCAAUGGCACCAAACAGAUCUCAUAGGAACGUCAUCAAUAAGAUUCUGGGCCAAGUGUUUGGAAAUACUCAGUUCUCGAGUGAUCUCAUUGUGGACUUUGCUAGCUUCUGAAGCUUUCUGGGCUUGCCAUCAUCCACCAAUAUGAAAUGGGAGUGGAGAUUAUUUAGAACGUUCAAUUUGCUCAGGGGAUUCAAUAGGGUUUGAUAAGGAGCAACCACCUAAACAAGAGCAAAAGAAGAGACGGUGGAAGGCAGCUGAAUGUAAUACAGCUUAAAAUCCAAGCUCCAGUUGUAACCGCAGCUUUAAUAAGACCCUUUCCAAGCAACUGCUUGAUUCUUGGAUGAAGCUCAAAUUUCUGCAUGCCUCCGUGUACAGAAAUAACAAGUUUGG